rnacentral:rRNA from 1 species
UUAGAGAAAUAUCUUUAUUUUUAGUAUAUUAAAGAACUAAUUUUUAUUAGUGAUAGUUAAUUAGUACUGUGAAGGAAUUGUUGAAAUAUUUUGAAAAGUUAUUUUAUUGAAAGUAGAUUUAGUUUAUUGUACCUUUUGUAUCAGGGUUAAUUAAUUAGUUUUAAUUUAUUUUAUUUUCUCGAUUUCAGAAGAGCUAAUUUUAAAUUAUUUUUACUGUUUCAUAAGUAUUAUAAAUUUAAUUUUGGUAGAGAAAUUUUAUUCGAUUCUGAAGGUAUCUAGUUUUUUAAGAAUUAAAUUUAAUUUAGGUCUUAUUUAUUAAAUAUUUAAUUUGAUUAAAUAUUUAUAAUUUGAGAUUAAAAUACUAGGGGAUAAGCUCUAGUUUUAUAACUAUAACUUUUAUUAUAUUUAAAUUAUGUAGACUUUAAAGCAGUCAUCAUUUAAUGAGUUCGUUGUAGUUCAUUUUAAUAUAAUUAGAUUUACUUGGGAUUAGAAUUUUAUUAAAAUAUUACUUUAAAUUAUAAAAAGUUAGUAAUAAUGAUUAAAUUAGUAUAUAAGUAUUGUAUUGAGUAUAGUUACUUGGUAUAAUUAAUUAAGGAACUCGGCAAAUAUAACAAUCGCCUGUUUAUCAAAAACAUGUCCUCUUGUCUAUAUAUGAGGUCUGACCUGCCCAGUGAUAAAGUUUUAACGGCCGCGGUAUUUUGACCGUGCAAAGGUAGCAUAAUCAUUAGUCUUUUAAUAGAAGGCUUGUAUGAAGGGUUUGACGAGUUGUUAGCUGUCUCAUUUAAUUUGAAAUUAAAAUUUAACUUUUCAGUUAAAAGGCUGAAAUUAAUUUGGAAGACGAGAAGACCCUAUAGAUCUUUAUAAAUAAUUAUUUUAUUUAAAUUUUUGAUAUAUUAUAUUUAUUUAUUAUUUUAUUUAUUUUGUUGGGGUGACAAAAAUAUAUAAUUAACUUUUUUAUUUUAAUAACAUUGAUUUAUGAUUUAUUAGAUCCAUUCUUAUUGAUUGUUAGAUUAAGUUACCUUAGGGAUAACAGCGUAAUCUCCCUUCAGAGUUCGUAUUUACGGGGAGGCUUGCGACCUCGAUGUUGGAUUAAGAUAAUAAUUAGGUGUAGCCGCUUAAUAUAUAGGUCUGUUCGACCUUUAAAUUCUUACAUGAUCUGAGUUCAAACCGGUUUAAGCCAGGUUGGUUUCUAUCUCCAAUUUUAUAUUAGUUCUUAGUACGAGAGGACCAGGACUAGAAAUAAUAUUUUUAUUGUUGAUUAAUAUUAAUAUAACUAUUUUGGCAGAAAAGUGCCAUGGAUUUAGAAU